GAGAACAUUCUCCAUCUCACGCUUUUUGUUUUACUUCAAAGACAAUUCUUGAUUCUUGAUCUCCCUUUUAUUUAGGACCAAAACUCUGUAUUCGUCAAACCUGUUCGAAUUGUUCCAUUUCCAUCGAACUAUAAGAGUUGUCUUUUUGUCUCUCUUUCUUGAAUUGUUCUCUUUGAUUCUUUUGCACAUCUCUUUUUUUUUUCCUUUAAAGCCUAAAGAGUAAAGACAAUCUGGUAAUUGGCCCAAAAGCCUAUAUAGCAUUGUUGAACCAAAUAUAAAACUGCACGGUUGAGUAGGGUUAGGGCUGGUUCAAAAUCUCAGCCUUAAAUUCACUUCAUUCAGGUUGUACCAAAAUGUAAGUAU